rnacentral:rRNA from 1 species
ACUCAAAGGAAUAGACGGGGGCCCGCACAAGCGGUGGAGCAUGUGGUUUAAUUCGAUGCAACGCGAAGAACCUUACCUACCUUUGAAUCCACGGAAUUCUGCUGAGAGGCGGAAGUGCCUUCGGGAACCGUGAGACAGGUGCUGCAUGGCUGUCGUCAGCUCGUGUCGUGAGAUGUUGGGUUAAGUCCCGUAACGAGCGCAACCCCUAUCCUUAGUUACCAGCGAGUAAAGUCGGGGACUUUAAGGAGACUGCCGGUGAUAAACCGGAGGAAGGUGGGGAUGACGUCAAGUCCUCAUGGCCCUUACAGGUAGGGCUACACACGUGCUACAAUGGUCGGUACAAAGGGUUGCGAACACGCGAGUGGGAGCCAAUCUCAAAAAGCCGAUCGUAGUCCGGAUUGGAGUCUGCAACUCGACUCCAUGAAGCUGGAAUCGCUAGUAAUCGCGGAUCAGAACGCCGCGGUGAAUACGUUCCCGGGCCUUGUACACACCGCCCGU